GACGAACGCUGGCGGCGUGCCUAAUACAUGCAAGUCGAGCGCAGGAAGCUGACGGAACUCUUCGGAGGGAAGGCAGUGGAAUGAGCGGCGGACGGGUGAGUAACACGUAAGGAACCUGCCUCAAGGAUUGGGAUAACUCCGAGAAAUCGGAGCUAAUACCGGAUAGUUCAACGGACCGCAUGGUCCGCCGAUGAAAGGCGCUCCGGCGUCACCUUGAGAUGGCCUUGCGGUGCAUUAGCUAGUUGGUGGGGUAACGGCUCACCAAGGCGACGAUGCAUAGCCGACCUGAGAGGGUGAUCGGCCACACUGGGACUGAGACACGGCCCAGACUCCUACGGGAGGCAGCAGUAGGGAAUCUUCCACAAUGGACGAAAGUCUGAUGGAGCAACGCCGCGUGAGUGAUGAAGGUUUUCGGAUCGUAAAACUCUGUUGUAAGGGAAGAACACGUACGAGAGGAAAUGCUCGUACCUUGACGGUACCUUACGAGAAAGCCACGGCUAACUACGUGCCAGCAGCCGCGGUAA
rnacentral:rRNA from 1 species